GGGGGUAUAGCUCGGUGGUAGAGCACAUGCUUUGCAUGCGUGAGGUCCUAUGUUCAAGCCCUAGUCCCUCCA
rnacentral:tRNA from 1 species